UACGUAGGGUGCAAGCGUUUGUCCGGAAUUAUUGGGCGUAAAGAGCUCGUAGGCGGUUUGUUGCGUCGGCUGUGAAAUCCCGAGGCUCAACCUCGGGUCUGCAGUCGAUACGAGCAAACUAGAGUGUUGCAGGGGAGACUGGAAUUCCUGGUGUAGCGGUGAAAUGCGCAGAUAUCAGGAGGAACACCGGUGGCGAAGGCGGCUUUCUGGACAGAUACCGACGCUGAGGCACGAAAGCUAGGGGAGCAAACAGG
rnacentral:rRNA from 1 species